GUGCUUGCUUCCACAGCACAUAUGCUAAAAUUGGAACAAUACAGAGAAGAUUAUCAUAGCCCCUGCACAAGGGCAACAUGCAAAUUUGUGAAGUGUUCCAUAUUGUA
ensembl:snRNA U6 U6 spliceosomal RNA